GAUGUGGUGAUGGUGAUGAUGUGGUGAUGGUGUUGAUGUGGCGAUGGUGUUGAUAUGGUAAUAGUGAUGAUGUGGUGAUGGUGAUGAUGUGGUGAUGGUGUUGAUGUGGUGAUGGUGCUGAUGUGAUGGUGUUUAUGUGGUGAUGGAGGUGAUGAUGUGGUGGUGGUGAUGAUGUGGUGAAGGUGAUGUGGUGAUGGUGAUGGUGUUGAUGUGGUGAUGAUGAGGUGAUGGUGAUGAUGUGGUGAUGGUGUUGAUGUGGUGAUGGUGAUGGUGUUGAUGUGGUGAUGGUGUUGAUGUGGUGAUGGUGUUGAUGUGGUGAUGGUGAUGAUGUGUUGAUGGUGUUGAUGGUGUUGAUGUGGUGAUGGUGUUGAUGAUGUAAUGGUGAUGAUGUGGUGAGGGUGUUGAUGUGGUGAUGGUGAUGUGGUGAUGGCAUUGAUGUUGU